rnacentral:lncRNA from 1 species
UCUACAAAGCAAAAGCAAAAGUAAAGCAGAAAAGGAAAAGAGAAAAGAAGAAAAGGGCCAAAAUUAUAAGGUUCCUAUUAUUGCGAUUCCUUUUGUCUACCAGGUGAAGAGACAGAGAGUGCGAUGGAAAGCAGAAAGCAAAAGCAAGGAAUAAACACCCCACCAGAAUGAUGUAAUUUAUUUUCCUUAUCUUUCGGAAACAUUUGUAUAAACCCCAUUAGAGGGUGUAAAAAAAAAAAAAAAAACAACGGCAAGCCCAAAAUAAUGGGCUGCAAUGUCAUGUGGAGGGCGAAGGCCCAUAUGCCUAAAAGAGCCAGGCCCUCUAUUAUCACCAACCAGGUGAUCAAAAGUACGCCCUGAACUUCAAAAUUAUUCGACAACCUGCCGUUAUUACCACUAACCAGGUGAUCAAAAGUACGCCCAGUACUCCAAAAUUAUUCGGCAACCUGCCGCUAUUACCACCAACCAGGUGAUGAAAUGUACAACCCGUACUCUAAAUCAUUUGGCAACUAGCCAUUCAUGCCACCAACCAGGUGAUGAAAUGUACAACCUGUACUCUCCUUCAUACCACCAACCAGGUGAUCAAAAGUACGCCCAGUACUCCAAAUUAUACAUGAGCAUUACUCAUGUCAUUCAUACAUA